rnacentral:rRNA from 1 species
GACGAACGCUGGCGGCGUGCUUAACACAUGCCAGUCGAACGGAAAGGCCCUGCUUUUGUGGGUUGCUCGAUUGGCGAACGGGUGAGUAACACGUGAGUAACCUGCCCUUGUCUUUGGGAUAACUUCACGGAACUGGGGCUAAUACCGCAUAGGAGCUCCUGCUGCAUGGUGGUGGUUGGAAAGUUUCGGCGGUUUGGGAUAGACUCGCGGCUUAGCCGCUUGUUGGUGGGGUAGUGGCUUACCAAGGCUUUGACGGGUAGCCGGCCUGGGAGGGUGACCGGCGACAUGACGACUGCGGGAGGCCCCAGUAUCCAACGGGAGGCAACAGUGGGAAGUAUUGCGCAAUGGGCGGGAGCCAGAUGCGGCAGCGCCGCGUGCGGGAUGACCGCCUUCGGGGUGUAAACAGAUUUCGCCUGUGACGAAGAGUGAGUGACGGUACUGGGUAAAGAAGCACCGGCUAACUACGUG